rnacentral:rRNA from 1 species
UACGGAGGGGACUAGCGUUGUUCGGAAUUACUGGGCGUAAAGCGCACGUAGGCGGCUUUCUAAGUCGGGGGUGAAAUCCUGGAGCUCAACUCCAGAACUGCCUUCGAUACUGGAGAGCUGGAGUCCGGGAGAGGUGAGUGGAACUGCGAGUGUAGAGGUGAAAUUCGUAGAUAUUCGCAAGAACACCAGUGGCGAAGGCGGCUCACUGGCCCGGUACUGACGCUGAGGUGCGAAAGCGUGGGGAGCAAACAGG